rnacentral:misc_RNA from 1 species
GAUGAAGAACGCAGUGAAAUGCGAUAAGUAGUGUGAAUUGCAGAAUUCAGUGAAUCAUCGAAUCUUUGAACGCACAUUGCGCCCCUUGGUAUUCCAUGGGGCAUGCCUGUUCGAGCGUCAUUUGUACCUUCAAGCUUUGCUUGGUGUUGGGUGUUUGUCUCGCCUUUGCGUGUAGACUCGCCUUAAAAUAAUUGGCAGCCGGCGUAUUGAUUUCGGAGCGCAGUACAUCUCGCGCUUUGCACUCAUAACGACAGCGUCCAAAAGUACAUUUUACACUCUUGACCUCGGAUCAGGUAGGGAUACCCGCUGAACUUAAGCAUAUCAAUAACGGAGGA